rnacentral:rRNA from 1 species
AGGAAGCCCCGGCUAACUACGUGCCAGCAGCCGCGGUAAUACGUAGGGGGCAAGCGUUACUCGGAUUUACUGGGCGUAAAGAGAAUUAAGGCGGUCAUGUAAGUCAGUGGUGAAAUCCCUCGGCUCAACUGAGGAAUUGCCUUUGAUACUGCGUGACUUGAGGACAGGAGAGGAAGGCGGAAUUCCCGGUGUAGCGGUGGAAUGCGUAGAUAUCGGGAGGAACACCUGAGGCGAAGGCGGCUUUCUGGACUGGUCCUGACGCUGAUAUUCGAAAGCUAGGGGAGCAAACAGGAUUAGAUACCCUGGUAGUCCUAGCUGUAAACGAUGGAUACUAGAUCUUGCAUGAAUUUGCUUGGUCGAAGCUAACGCG